rnacentral:rRNA from 1 species
AGAGUUUGAUCAUGGCUCAGAUUGAACGCUGGCGGCAUGCCUUACACAUGCAAGUCGAACGGCAGCGCGGGAGCAAUCCUGGCGGCGAGUGGCGAACGGGUGAGUAAUAUAUCGGAACGUGCCCUGGAGUGGGGGAUAACUAGUCGAAAGAUUAGCUAAUACCGCAUACGAUCUAUGGAUGAAAGUGGGGGAUCGCAAGACCUCAUGCUCCUGGAGCGGCCGAUAUCUGAUUAGCUAGUUGGUGGGGUAAAAGCCUACCAAGGCCACGAUCAGUAGCUGGUCUGAGAGGACGACCAGCCACACUGGGACUGAGACACGGCCCAGACUCCUACGGGAGGCAGCAGUGGGGAAUUUUGGACAAUGGGGGCAACCCUGAUCCAGCAAUGCCGCGUGUGUGAAGAAGGCCUUCGGGUUGUAAAGCACUUUUGUCAGGAACGAAACGGUCUGGGCUAAUACCUCGGACUAAUGACGGUACCUGAAGAAUAAGCACCGGCUAACUACGUGCCAGCAGCCGCGGUA